AUGAUCACAGCUGGCCAUCAGGGAGUAACUGGAGUCUACUGGUUCAGCAGGAAUGGUGGCUUGGACUUGAGCUUCCCUAUGGCUGUCACAGUUGCAAUGUCAAGCAAUCCAUUUCAUAUACUGAUCUGCAGUUUCCUUCUGAUUUCAGUACUGACUGAGGUCAACAAGGUCUGACAGGCUAAGGAUAAAGAGGUAUUCAUCUGAAGAAAUGCAUCAGCCAGUUUUGGUUUGGCAACUUUACUAGCAUGUUCUUUUGCUCUGAAAAUUGAGAAGAAAUCCUCCUGGGUGAAGCUUUCUUACAUUUCUAGUGGUUCUGUCCUUGAGAACCCAUUGGCUUAAUGGGGGAUUUUUCUGGUUUUACUUGUGGUACUUUCAAAUAAGUGGUCCGCCCAAAGGCCGGAUGUACACCAUUCAGAAUGUAAAUUAAAGUGUGACUGGCCUGCAGACACACUGAAAGCACCUACUUUGCCAUGUGUGGCUAAAUUCACUCAGACCAUCAGUAGGUGCCUUAACAGAGUAUGAUCCUUACUGACAUCUGGUAGUAGAAGUCAAUGGUUUAGUGUCUUUACUCUGUAUUGUUUUCAAACUGUUAUUAUACAGUCCAAUUAUUUUUGGCUGUAUAUCCUCUGGACUGAAAACUCUGAGAAAUUUAUAUGAAAGUAAUCCAUUAUGGAUGAAGAGAUAAGUCUGAAAUGUUGAUAGAUGCGAGGAGAAAUACAGUUGUACAGUCUCACUGUCUUUAACAGUGGACAGCAGUAAAACUGAUUUCAGAAUCUUGUCAAAGGUAAUAUCAAACCAUUAUUUCUGAGGUUGUUAGAUAGGGACAUUUUAUGCUAAUCUCUUUAAUUUUUAAAAACACUUGUUACUAAAAUCAGAACUGUGCUUUGUGAAUCAUUAACUCUCGUUAUACUCAUAGGUAGGCUCCAGUAUUUGGGCUGACUUUCAAAAUGCUGAUGGGAGCACACCCACAGAAGUAGAGCUGAGUGAAUAAUGAAACAGUGAAUAAUUUAUCUGAUACACUUUGGUUAGGUUCAUAUUUGCAAUAAUAAUUAUUAUAGGAGGGUAAUAUUUUACAUUGACGUGUGAGCACCAAGUCCUGGA
rnacentral:lncRNA from 1 species